rnacentral:rRNA from 1 species
UAAGGAAUAUUGGUCAAUGGAGGCAACUCUGAACCAGCCAUGCCGCGUGCAGGAAGACGGCUCUCUGGGUUGUAAACUGCUUUUAUUCGGGAAUAAACCUACUUACGUGUAAGUAGCUGAAUGUACCGAAGGAAUAAGGAUCGGCUAACUCCGUGCCAGCAGCCGCGGUAAUACGGAGGAUCCAAGCGUUAUCCGGAUUUAUUGGGCUUAAAGGGUGCGAAGGCGGCCUAUUAAGUCAGGGGUGAAAGACGGUAGCUCAACUAUCGCAGUGCCCUUGAUACUGAUGGGCUAGAAUGGGCUAGAGGUAGGCGGAAUGUGACAAGUAGCGGUGAAAUGCAUAGAAUUGUCACAGAACACCGAUUGCGAAGGCAGCUUACUAUGAUCUUAGUGACGCUGAGGCACGAAAGCGUGGGGAUCAAACA